UGACCCCAAGUCAGGCGAGA
rnacentral:rRNA from 2 species